AACCUUACCAGGUCUUGACAUCCCGAUGCUAUUUCUAGAGAUAGAAAGUUACUUCGGUACAUCGGUGACAGGUGGUGCAUGGUUGUCGUCAGGCUCGUGUCGUGAGAUGUUGGGUUAAGUCCCGCAACGAGCGCAACCCCUAUUGUUAGUUGCCAUCAUUCAGUUGGGCACUCUAGCGAGACUGCCGGUAAUAACCGGAGGAAGUGGGAUGACGUCAAAUCAUCAUGCCCCUUAUGACCUGGGCUACACACGUGCUACAAUGGUUGGUACAACGAGUUGCGAGUCGGUGACGGCGAGCUAAUCUCUUAAAGCCAAUCUCAGUUCGGAUUGUAGGCUGCAACUCGCCUACAUGAAGUCGGAAUCGCUAGUAAUCGCGGAUCAGCACGCCGCGGUGAAUACGUUCCCGGGCCUU
rnacentral:rRNA from 1 species